GUGAGGAAUAUUGGUCAAUGGGCGGGAGCCUGAACCAGCCAAGUCGCGUGAAGGAAGAAGGAUCUAUGGUUCGUAAACUUCUUUUGCAGGGGAAUAAAGUGCGGGACGUGUCCUGUUUUGUAUGUACCCUGAGAAUAAGGAUCGGCUAACUCCGUGCCAGCAGCCGCGGUAAUACGGAGGAUCCGAGCGUUAUCCGGAUUUAUUGGGUUUAAAGGGUGCGUAGGUGGUUUGAUAAGUCAGCGGUGAAAGUUUGCAGCUUAACUGUAAAAAUGCCGUUGAAACUGUCGGACUUGAUUGUAAAUGAGGUAGGCGGAAUGCGUGGUGUAGCGGUGAAAUGCAUAGAUAUCACGCAGAACUCCGAUUGCGAAGGCAGCUUACUAAGCUACAACUGACACUGAAGCACGAAAGCGUGGGGAUCAAACAGGAUUAGAUACCCUUGUAGUCC
rnacentral:rRNA from 1 species